CAGCCGCCGCGGUAAGACAGAGGAUGCAUGCGUUAUCCGGAAUGAUUGGGCGUAAAGGGCUCGCAGGCGGUUUCUUAAGUCUGAUGUGAAAGCCCCCGGCUCAACCGGGGAGGGUCAUUGGAAACUGGGAAACUUGAGUGCAGAAGAGGAGAGUGGAAUUCCACGUGUAGCGGUGAAAUGCGUAGAGAUGUGGAGGAACACCAGUGGCGAAGGCGACUCUCUGGUCUGUAACUGACGCUGAGGAGCGAAAGCGUGGGGAGCGAACAGGAUUAGAGACCCCAGUAGUCCCUGUCUCUUAUAC
rnacentral:rRNA from 1 species